rnacentral:lncRNA from 1 species
CUCUGUGUCACACUAUAUAAUUACUGUCUUGAUUGAUAUUGAAUGUUUUGUAUAGGGCACUUGAGAAAGCUUCGAUGGAGGGAUGGAUGAUGGGAAGCAUUUAAAAUCUCAGUGUUGAAAAUUUGUAGGAAUUAAGUAUAAACCAAAUAUUUCUUUUACAGGGUGUAAAGACAAGUAGCUUUUAGAUUAAAUGUCAGCUUAAGUGACAAAAUUAAGGUCUUAUCAAUUAUUUAAAGAUUUGGAUUAUGCAGUUUGAUAGUAACUUAAUUAGUGAUUCAAAUGUCUAGUCCAACAUUCAGGACAGGAUCUGCCGUCUUUAGUUCAAGUUGCUCCAGACGUGAGCUGACAGAGCAACUGUAGCCAAAGACAUCACUAAAUGACUGACUACCAAACAUGACCUCACUUUUGUCCUCAUGGAUAUCCUUACCAUGAGGUAGUUCUAGAGACUGGAUGAAAUUUAAAAACCUAGUAACCCAAACAAGUUCCUAAGUUUGCCUAAACCUAAGAAUUCCACCUUAUGGACUGAACCACGGAAGCACUAAACAUUUCUUUAUUGAACAUGGGUCGGGGUGUGGUUCGAGGCUGAUGCUGGGUUGGGGAGGUGACACUGGUAUGACAGCUGCAGAGAGGUCCCUGCUAAUCCCUAACAUUGAAGUCUUUCUUAAGCUCUUAUGCCAGAUGGGGCUUGUCUGGGCAGGCAACUGGCAUCCACUCAGGUGCUGAACAUGUGCAUCAGUUGGCAUUGCCUAUAGAUGUUGGCACACAGAGGAUCAGAAGUAGGUCACCAUUUUCCACCUGGACUCAGCAGCUGUGUUCUCUAUUUUCUCUUCCGUUCCACAUGAGUCUUUAGUUAGGUCAGGUGCCACUUGAUAUUUCCUCUCCCACUGUUUUCUACUGUUAGACAUCAAGGGAAAUAUAUAAAUUUGUUCCUAAGGUCAUGGACAUAUUGGUGACUUAACCUAUACCAGAAGCAGGUAUUAACUGCGCCAAUGCAAAGAUCAAGCAGGAACAGUGAACUGAGAACCCACCAUCAAUCAAGUCUUUCCCUAGAGGAUGUGCUACAGGACUGACUGGCCUUGGACUAAGCACCGAGAGAAAAAAAUAGGAAUCCUAAAUUCUAACCCAAGGACUUUUUAUAGUUUAAUCAAUAAGAAAAAAAUUUGAGAGAGGUAAUGAGAUUAUUUCAUUCCUCAACUAGCACAAUUAAGAAACGAACAGCAUGUGAUGUGCAAGCCAUCCCAGGCUCCACUCCACGAAAC